CCUGCUCCUUGCGCCCCCCGACUGCCGCCGCCACGCACCUUCGCCCGCCUCGCCUCGCCUCGCCACGCCGCCGCCUCCUCUCGCCCAGUUUCGCUCGUGCUCUAGUUACCAGGGACGAGCUGCGGCCACGUCUCCGCCGCCGUCGUCCACCGGAUACCCGGACCUGGGUCGGGGUAGCCUGGCAGCGGCCGCCUGACCUGCAGCGGCUGCCGCAGCGGUGCAACUUUCUUCGUUCAAGUAAGAUCGGUGAAACGGGAGCCGAGCUCCCACAGAUCUGUAUCGAUCUCAUUCGGCUCAACCCCGUUUAUGCAGUGUUGUUGUGGUCGAUUGACAUCCCUGUGAAGAUGAAAUUCAGGUCCAAAGACGACUGAUGACUGGUUUUAGCCUCAAGCCAUCAUGUCUCGCCGUUUUUGGUGAGCUUAUGGCUUGGGGCUAAAACCUGUUUAGGGUCGUCGAUGAUGGCCAUAUUAGCUAUGAGAUCUGAGGGACACCGUCAAUAUGAGUACAUAAUACUUUCUUCUCCUUUGGUUUGUCCUGCCGAGUACCUUUAUAUGUUGUAUCUAGCUCAAGUAGCAGUCAGUGUCCCAAUGAAGAAAAUAUUUCAGUACCGAAGAUGAAUGGUUGGUUAGUUUUAGCUUCAAGCCAUUUUAGUAUAUUUCUUUGUACAUGUGGCUUGUGGCUAAAACUAGUUUACUUUAAAGUUCAUCCGUGAUGGCCGUAGCUAUGAGAUCCGAGGGAUGCCCGACCAUUAGAGCCUCGUAGCCCAUUUCAUCUUUGCUCAACCUCAUUUUUUCCGCUAUUUAUAGUAUAAAUUAUGUGUCUGAUGAGUUUGAUUUGUUCCAGUUUGACUGCUCUAAGUUUUGUUUCUGUUAGCAGAGGUUGCACUGUACUGUCUUCUCGUCAGCCAAAGAUUUUUUAAAAUAGUCCUAGGGCCAUAUUAGCUAGGAGAUCUGAUGGACAUAAUCAAUUGGACCUGUUAGCCAAGAAUUUUUUUAAAAUUGUUUUAGGGCCAUAUUAGCUAGGAGAUCUGAUGGACAUCAUCAAUAUGAUUACAUGGUCCUUACUUUCUCUCUUGGUUUUUGAGACUGGGUUCUUGAUUUAGAUGGAAGUGAGGAUCCUUUCCCCAGCUGAUCGACUAUGAUUAUACUGUGCGCAAAUGUAAUCCUUUAUCAGAGGAUUCCAAGCCAGAAAUCUGAUCCAUCACGCCCGACAGCUUCUAUCCACUUUUUUCUCUCUUAUACUUGACCUUUGUGUUUCUUAUUUGAUUUGUAAAUUGAAUGGAAGUGAGGAUCCUUUCCCCAAAUGAUGGACUAUGAUUAUACUGCGCGCAACUGCAAUCCUUUAUCAGAGGAUUCGAAGCCAGAAAUCUGAUCCAUCUGGCAUGACAGUUCUAUCUCCCUUUUCUCUCUCAUACUUGACCUUUAUUUUUCUCAUUUGAUUGGUAAAUUGAAUGGAAGUGAGGAUCCUUUCCCCAAAUGAUCGACUAUGAUUAUACUGUGCGCAACUGUAAUCCUUUACCAGAGGAUUCCAAGCCAGAAAUCUGAUCCAUCUUUGUUAUCUCUGCCACCUUGUUUUUUCAAUUUUGUUUUUAUUUUACUAAGAAAACUGAAUGGACUUUAGCGUCCUUUCUAACUAUACUGUGCACAAAUGUAAUCCGUUAUAACAGGAUUCCAAACCAGAGAUCUGAUGCACCUUCUUUUGUUUUGUUCUAUUUUAACUUUCUGAUUGGGCUUUGUUUCAUUUUUUUUGAAGUUGAAUGGAAGUGAGGAUCCUUUCCCCAAAUGAUCGACAUUGAUUAUACUGUGCGCAACUGUAAUCAUUUAUCAGAGGAUUCCAAGCCAGAAAUCUGAUCCAUCUUGCUCAACAAUCUCAACCCCUGUUGCUCUGUUUGUAUUAUUUUUUUGUCCUGAUUUGUAAAUGGAAUGGUAGUGAGGUUUUUUAUCUCUUUUGAUUGUGCUUUGUUUAAAAAUUAUCUUGUGUUUACUGUCAUUUCAUAUUGUGUUAUUGUUUUCUAGUGACCUGGCCUGAAACCUUUCUCGAUGAAGAGAGUACAAGCAGACGGGCGGUCUGAACUGAUGCCAUGUUGAUAUGUCUGCAUCAUCUGUGCUUACCCUUGUGGAUAGCAUCAGAGAGAAAACAAAGAUCAUUCUUAAAUUUGUGCCUUAGCUCGAAUUCUUCCUCAUAGACAGAUGCGGUUCAGUUUAUUACUUGACUCCAGUCUUUGGGACAGAUUGGGUGAGGAUAGUGGGAUGGUUUACUUACCAAUCGUUUUGCAGCAUAUGCCAUUGCUCUGAUUCAAAUGGUUUAACCGAGAUUCUCCGUUUCAACUAAGCUUUGAAUUCUUUUGAUUCUUCCUGCUUGCAUAUCCUACAGUAAAUGGAAAAUUCCAUGUGGUUUAAUGAAUCUCCACUUGUUAUCUGUUGCCAUUCAUUUUAGCUCUCUAUUUGUCUCUGCUAUUUCAAAUUUUAUCAAUCUUCUUGUGGCUUAGGGUGACAAAUGCGGUGAAAUAUUGUAUGCUAAACACUGAAUCUUUGAUAUGUUUACAAAACUCCUCUUAUUAUCUGAUGCCACACCUGCUUGGAACCACUUUUUCUAGUCUAUUUUCUGCACAAUUUCUUCAUUACUUGUGUAUUAAAUUUGAUUGAUGGCAGUGAUUUGAAACUUACCCGUGCUUCUGAUUAAUCCAUGAAGUACAAGGGAAAACAUGGUUGAAUUUCUUAAUACGAGCCAAUCAAAUAUUCUUCUCUUAGAUUUGUGUGUUCUGGUUCUGCCAUGGCCGUGAUGAUUAACUCUUUCAGCAAACAUGCCAGUUCUGCUUCUGAGAAUUCAUGACUGAAAAUUUUGUUAUAUAAGAUCGGAGCCAUUUUGCACUUAGAAAAGCUGUGUUCUCCAAUGGUAGAUAUCUGAAGAUUUAUGAUUGAUUACCUUGGUCUCUUCCAUAAAUUCUCUGUCAGCAUGUAAAUUCUUCUCAGCAUGUAAAUUCUUCUGAAACACCAUCUGAAUUGCCAAUGAUGCCACACCCAACAUUUGGAGGUGCAGAUGGCUCCAGGAUCCUGUUUACAGGAUGAACCUACCUGGAGGCGCUGUAUCCAUAUGACAUUCAUGGGCAUGUCUGAGGUUUUUGAUGAUCAUGAAACUUUUCUUCCUGUUUUGAUGUUGUUUUCUGCUUUUUUUAAUUGGUAAAUGAAAUGUUUGUGUAUUUAUUUUUGCCGAGUUUAACUAUCCUCUCACAAGUACCUCUGAUUUGCGGAAGAGGCUGAAAAACUCGCAGAUUGUGUGUUGUCAUCAGCUUUGUCUCUUGGUCCUAUGAGAUGGGAGUUAAAUAACGACACCAGAUUCACUCAUGUUCAAUGUGUGAUGAUAGUCAGUUCAUAGUUGCAGUCCUUUUUGCCUUCAAAAAAACUGAUGGAAUAAAAAUCUGAAAACAUAAAUAGAAACUGCUCUAAGAAAUAUAAAAAAGCGGGGUUUACUAUUGACCUGUUUGAGUAGCUUUGUUUGUGGUAUCUAGCUUGAGCAGCAUUGUCCAGAUGAAGAACAACAUUUAGUACCAAAGAUGAUGGCUUGAAUUAGUUUUUGCUCCAAUCCAUUGUAGUCUUUAUUUCUACUGAUUUGUAGUUUGUGGUUAAAACUAGUUAUUGAUUGUGUCAUCUGUGAUGGCCAAUAGCUAUGAGAUCUGAGGGAUUCGUCUAUUUGAGACUUGUUUUUUCCCUAGGAGUUGAUUUGGCUCUUCUGUUAUGUUUUCCUUUUGUUAUCUAGGAAGGAUUUCUUCUCCAUGAAAUAGCAUUCUACAGAUGAUUAGAAUAUUUGACGUAGAUAAUUUAUGUCGCCUCUUUCUUUCACUAGUGCACUGUUGUGGCAAUUCAUUCUUCUUUUCUACAUUAGUUUGCGUUUGUAUUUUCCUCUUCGUUUUGUUUCAUAAGACUUGUCAACAAAUGGUCGCUUUCGAGAGAACCUGGUGGAUUUUGUGUUUCAUGGUGGUUCCGUUGCGGGCGUACACUGAUCUAGAGCCUCCACCGUGUCUCACCCUCCACAUCUUUUGCUGGGUGUUGGAUUGGUUCUUGAACAUUUUGAAUAUUAUCUUUGUUUUUCUAUGAUUGUAUGGCUUCUGUUUUUCAUUUUUGUCCGUGGCCUUCAUAAUCCCGGAUUAACUUGCUUAGCUGUUCUUCUGAUUCAUGGGAGGCCAAAACUGAUGUCUGGGAGUUUCGCUGAUAGCGCCUCGUUACUACUGGAGGUGCUUCAUUAGUAACUUGCCACACAGACAAAUUGAUCAAUUUUCUGUACUUCUGUUUGUUCAUGUGUUCAUGUUCUGUUUAUUUGAUUCGGGGAGCUUUGUCCCAUUGUACGACUGCCGUUCUCUUGGUUGAUCUGACUUUACAAAGCUCCCGAGAGGUAUUCAGGUGGCGCUUAGAGCACAAAUCCGUCUGAUGGAUCUUGGGUUACGCUCGCCCCCAAAUUCCAGUUUAGUCUUUUUUCAAGCAUUUUAAACCUUUCAUGGUGCAGUGAUUAUAAAACAUUCCUCGUACUGAUGGGAGAUCCCUGUGAAUGACUCCUAUACACCCAUAGAAUCUGAGCACUAACAAACCAUACUUGUUUCUUUGGAUUCUUAAUUUGUUCUUAUUUUUAAUAUGCCGUUCAUUGUUAUUUUCACCUAAUCCGUCUCAUUCAUUUCUGUUUUUUGAUUUUGUUUGUUUGUUCUGGAGCACGUAGUUGCGAUGAGGAUAACAAGCUCCCUCUUCUGAAAGCAUUGACGACAUCGCCGGCAGAAUCGAACCAAUUAAAUAUUGCCACCACUGAGCAACUCUGGGUGUUUCUACUCUUGUCAGUUAUUGACCAUUUGCUUGUUCUUACCUUCCAGUCUGCAAAAUCUGUUUGGAUCAUGAGGAGGUAUUGAUGCAUAAUCCAACACUUGUUCCGAGGGCGGCUUUAGCCGCCCAUGUGAUGUCAUUCUUGCAUCUGAAUCUACCACAUUUUUUUUUCAUUUGGUCUAGUUUUUAUUGAUCUGGUCAGUAUCAGAGGAUGAAACCUUCAAACAAUCUUAGGACACCUUCUGACACAGUGCUUAUUUUCCUGUGAAUGAGAAGGCAUUUUAUUCUGAUGAUACACCCUGUUUCUUUGAGUUUUUGGCCCAAGGAUGUUUAGGGCCCUGUUUUCUAUCUAGAACGCAAAUGGAGCCUAUGAUGAUUAGCUUUACGUUGGAAUUACCGUCAGAUUCGAAAUGAUGAUAUUUUUGAGGCUUUCUGAGGCUUAAGACAGCUUAGCUCUUCUACUUUUUUAUUGUUAUGAACUUUCUUCAGCCGGGUUAAGAUUCUUAGACCAUAGGAUGUUCUGCAAGUGUCCUCCUUUGCCCAGAACCUUUGUAGUUUGGUCUGGGCUGGAAUCCCCAGCCGCACUUAGUUUUUUCAGCUGUGUGUGUAAUUUUAAACAGGUUCCUGAGGGAUUCUCCUCUUGGUUGCUCGUUUUUUUUUUGCAUAUAGUAUAUGGAUGUGCCAUUUGCUGCAUCUCUGUUGGCUUUCAACAUUAACCAAAUAUGCUCAUCUUGAUAAGAGACUCUGCAAUAUGUAUUUCCAUUGAUCUAGGUUUGACCAAUAUGUUGUUCCAAUUACCAGAUACAAGUCGGCGACAACUGUACCAAGAGGCUACAAGGAAAACGCUUCCAGCCGGCCAGCCGGCCGAGUUUGGGCCGGACGUCUCGUCAUGUGGGAAACAACCAAACCGCUUGCAACACGUGUUCCCGCGGGUCCACCCUUAUCUGUUCCCUUUUCUCCUCCCAUUGUCCACCCUUCGUCUUCCACCUCCGUCUUCGUUGCUUUCCCUUCCCCCAUCUUUACAGUUUACACGGAGAGAGCUUCUCCACUACUGCGGCUCCUGUCCAAGCUCCUCCCUAUCCUGGUAGCAGAGCCAUUGCCCACCUCUUCUCCCUUCUCCGUUGCAGCUGUGCUGCUAUGGCCAGAUGCUACCGGAGUUGGAGACGCUUGCAAUCUAUGACGCAAAAGCAAACACAACCUAUGAUGUUGCAACCGGCUACACAAAAAGCUACAACCAUCAA